rnacentral:rRNA from 1 species
UACGAGGGGGGCAAGCGUUUGUUCGGAAUUAUUGGGCGUAAAGGGUGCGUAGGCGGUUUGGUAAGUCUUAUGUGAAAUCUACAGGCUCAACUUGUAGUCUGCAUGAGAAACUGCCGGGCUUGAGUAUGGGAGAGGUGAGUGGAAUUCCUGGUGUAGCGGUGAAAUGCGUAGAUAUCAGGAGGAACACCUGUGGCGAAAGCGGCUCACUGGACCAUAACUGACGCUGGAUGCACGAAAGCUAGGGGAGCAAACAGG